rnacentral:rRNA from 1 species
CGGGAGCAAUCCUGGUGGCGAGUGGCGAAACGGGUGAGUAAUAUAUCGGAACGUGCCCGGUCGUGGGGGAUAACGUAGCGAAAGCUACGCUAAUACCGCAUACGAUCUACGGAUGAAANCGGGGGAUCGCAAGACCUCGCGCGAUUGGAGCGGCCGAUAUCAGAUUAGGUAGUUGGUGAGGUAAAGGCUCACCAAGCCGACGAUCUGUAGCUGGUCUGAGAGGACGACCAGCCACACUGGGACUGAGACACGGCCCAGACUCCUACGGGAGGCAGCAGUGGGGAAUUUUGGACAAUGGGCGCAAGCCUGAUCCAGCAAUGCCGCGUGCAGGAUGAAGGCCUUCGGGUUGUAAACUGCUUUUGUACGGAACGAAACGGUGAGCUCUAAUACAGUUUGCUAAUGACGGUACCGUAAGAAUAAGCACUGGCUAACUACGUG